GAUAAACCGGAGGAAGGUGGGGAGUGACGUCAAGUCAUCAUGGCCCUUACCGAUAGGGCUACACACGUGCUACAAUGGCAUGUACAAAGAGAAGCGAACUCGCGAGAGCAAGCGGACCUCAUAAAGUAUGUCGUAGUCCGGAUUGGAGUCUGCAACUCGACUCCAUGAAGUCGGAAUCGCUAGUAAUCGUAGAUCAGAAUGCUACGGUGAAUACGUUCCCGGGCCUU
rnacentral:rRNA from 1 species